rnacentral:rRNA from 1 species
UACGUAGGGACCAAGCGUUGUUCGGAUUUACUGGGCAUAAAGCGCACGUAGGCGGUUCGUUAAGUCAUGUGUGAAAUCCCUCGGCUCAACCGAGGAAUUGCGCCUGAUACUGGCGGGCUAGAGAUCGAUAGGGGUGAGUGGAACUCCAGGUGGAGCGGUGAAAUGCGUAGAUAUCUGGAGGAACACCGGUGGCGAAAGCGGCUCACUGGAUCGAUACUGACGCUGAGGUGCGAAAGCUAGGGUAGCAAACGGG